rnacentral:rRNA from 1 species
UGGGGAAUAUUGCACAAUGGGGUAAACCCUGAUGCAGCGACGCCGCGUGAACGAAGAAGGUAUUCGUAUCGUAAAGUUCUGUCCUAUGGGAAGAUAAUGACAGUACCAUAGAAGAAAGCUCCGGCUAAAUACGUGCCAGCAGCCGCGGUAAUACGUAUGGAGCGAGCGUUGUCCGGAAUUAUUGGGCGUAAAGGGUACGCAGGCGGUUUAAUAAGUCGAAUGUUAAAGAUCGGGGCUCAACCCCGCAAAGCAUUGGAAACUGAUAAACUUGAGUAGUGGAGAGGAAAGUGGAAUUCCUAGUGUAGUGGUGAAAUACGUAGAUAUUAGGAGGAAUACCAGUAGCGAAGGCGACUUUCUGGACACAAACUGACGCUGAGGUACGAAAGCGUGGGGAGCAAACAGG